rnacentral:lncRNA from 1 species
CAACAGAUAAAUAAUUAGACCUAUUAAAAAUGUUCAAGAAUCUUUACAGUAACUGUUACAGACUAAAUUGUGUACUCCCCAAAUUCAUAUAAUAAAGCUCUAUACUCCAAUGUGACUAUAUUUGGGCCUACAAAGAGAUGAUAAUAAUGGUUAAGUGAGGUCAUAAAGCUGGAACUUUAAGUUGAUUGGGCUGCUUCUUAAUAAGAAGAGGAAGCAACACCAGAGAUAUUUCUGUCUCCAUUUGUACAUACAAAAGAGGCCAUGUGAGGACACAGGUGAGAAGACUUCAUCCACAAGUCGGGGAAGAGAGACCUCACCAGAAACUGACCCUGAGCUUGGAGUUAGAGCCUGCACAAUUGUGCCAUUCCUCUCUUCUGAGCUCCUCUCUGGCCAACUUUAACUCAUCGAUUGGUUCUGCCACCCGCAACGUUGGCUCCAAAGGCCUGUAGCGUUGUUCUAAUACUUCGGUGAUAUCUCGGAAGGGCCCCUGACAAGACAGGAUGAGGAACAUAUUUUAUAUGGAAGAUUUUUUUGAGGUUAUCACUAACAAGACACAGCUGGAGUUACUGCAAGCACUGAGUGAAGACUGUGGGGCUAAUAAAAAGAAAUGAUUCACGCCUCAUUUAUGUUCACUUAUGCUUUACAUUAAUAGAAACCAAUAAUAGGAAC